UGGGGAAUUUUGGACAAUGGGCGCAAGCCUGAUCCAGCAAUGCCGCGUGAGUGAAGAAGGCCUUCGGGUUGUAAAGCUUUUUUGUCAGGGAAGAAACGGCCGAGGCUAAUACCUUUGGCUAAUGACGGUACCUGAAGAAUAAGCACCGGCUAACUACGUGCCAGCAGCCGCGGUAAUACGUAGGGUGCAAGCGUUAAUCGGAAUUACUGGGCGUAAAGCGUGCGCAGGCGGUUUUGUAAGUCUGACGUGAAAUCCCCGGGCUUAACCUGGGAAUUGCGUUGGAGACUGCAAGGCUGGAGUCUGGCAGAGGGGGGUAGAAUUCCACGUGUAGCAGUGAAAUGCGUAGAGAUGUGGAGGAACACCGAUGGCGAAGGCAGCCCCCUGGGUCGAGACUGACGCUCAUGCACGAAAGCGUGGGGAGCAAACAGGAUUAGAUACCC
rnacentral:rRNA from 1 species